rnacentral:lncRNA from 1 species
GCGGCCGACGGCGUGCUUCGGGCAUGGUGGCGAACGCGAGCUUAGGUGCUCCAAAAAUAAAAAGUAACCACGUCAAAAGUUGUGCAAAAGGGAGGGGAGAAAGAAGGGGUAGGCGGCGGCGGCUCGGACCUUAGGGUUCGCCGGCGGUGAGCGGAUCUCGGCGACGGCAGUGCGGAUUUUUCGGCGGAGCAAUUAGUCGGCCUGGGGGCGCAAUGGAGAGGGAGAGGAGAGGGGAAAAGAAGAGGAAGUCGGGGGCUUCAAUAUGACGCACUUGGACUCGGAGAUGGCGUCGUGGACGCGAAGAAAUCGCGUGGAGAUCAUGGGGCGUGCGCACGGGUUCACGGCCGGGAGAAUCGGCCUGGUCGGUUGGAGCUUGAUGACGAAGCUGACCGAUGGGCCCGCAUGUUAGUGGGUGCGGCGGCGCGCUCGCGCGUGGGCGUUGGGUUGUGCGGGUGAGUUGGGCCGGCCCGGUUGGGGUCGGUCCGUUACCUUUUUUUUUCUUUUCUUUUUCUUAUGUUCUGUUUUUGAUUAAAGCUUCCAAUCGAGUCAAACAAAAUGCAACAAAAAUUUUAAAAUCAUAUCUUCGUAUGAUUCAACUUUUGAGAAAAGAAUUCUCUCAAAAUAAAAUAUUUAAAAAUACUUUUGCCUAUAAACUAGCCUUUAGGGCUUUUUAGCUAUUAAAAUAUUUAGUGUUUCAAAUCCAAUUCAAAUGCCAUGACAUGGGGUAGUAUCUUUACUGCACUAAACCCCUUUUUAUGUCAACACCCUGAUGGGUUAAAAUGCAAUUAACAAAAGAAGGGUAAAAGGCCAAACUCAAAUAAAAACACUUUUAUAAUGAGUUUUUCUGAGUUAACCUUUAGGGUUUUAAAUGUGAUUAUAAUGCAAAGGUGACAUGAUGCUUAUGAAAUGCAAUGCAUAUGGAGGAUUUUGAAAAUUGGGAUGUUACAGUCAUCCUUCCAAUAAUCUAUUCAGGAGGGUGCCUCUUUUGAAUGUGUCGGGUGCUAAAAUUUUUG